rnacentral:rRNA from 1 species
CAGCAGCCGCGGUAAUACGUAGGGUGCAAGCGUUAAUCGGAAUUACUGGGCGUAAAGCGUGCGCAGGCGGUUAUAUAAGACAGAUGUGAAAUCCCCGGGCUCAACCUGGGAACUGCAUUUGUGACUGUAUAGCUAGAGUACGGCAGAGGGGGAUGGAAUUCCGCGUGUAGCAGUGAAAUGCGUAGAUAUGCGGAGGAACACCGAUGGCGAAGGCAAUCCCCUGGGCCUGUACUGACGCUCAUGCACGAAAGCGUGGGGAGCAAACAGGAUUAGAGACCCCUGUAGUCCCUGUCUCUUAUAC